CCUACGGGAGGCAGCAGUGGGGAAUAUUGGGCAAUGGGCGCAAGCCUGACCCAGCAACGCCGCGUGAAGGAAGAAGGCUCUCGGGUUGUAAACUUCUUUUCUGAGGGACGAAGAAAGUGACGGUACCUCAGGAAUAAGCCACGGCUAACUACGUGCCAGCAGCCGCGGUAAUACGUAGGUGGCAAGCGUUCUCCGGAUUUAUUGGGUGUAAAGGGCGUGUAGGCGGGAAAGUAAGUCAGAUGUGAAAACUCAGGGCUCAACCCUGAGCCUGCAUUUGAAACUGUUUGUCUUGAGUGCUGGAGAGGCAAUCGGAAUUCCGUGUGUAGCGGUGAAAUGCGUAGAUAUACGGAGGAACACCAGUGGCGAAGGCGGAUUGCUGGACAGUAACUGACGCUGAGGCGCGAAAGCGUGGGGAGCAAACAGGAUUAGAUACCCUAGUAGUC
rnacentral:rRNA from 1 species